AGCCUGUCAAGGGCAUAGUCCUUUGUGGCUGAUGCUUACAGCUGAUCAGAACCCAGGACACUAGCACUUACUAUCAAGGUUAUAGGGAGGCUGAUGCUUACAGCUGAUCAGAACCCAGGACACUAGCGCUUACUAUCAAGGUUAUAGGGAGGCUGAUGCUUACAGCUGAUCAGAACCCAGGACACUAGCGCUUACUAUCAAGGUUAUAGGGAGGCUGAUGCUUACAGCUGAUCAGAACCCAGGACACUAGCACUUACUAUCAAGGUUAUAGGGAGGUGGCAGAGAAAAGAAGUUCAGCGAGACUGGUGCCUCUUUUCAAAAUGGUAUGACAGUCCCUAGGUUCUCUGGCUCCUGUUUCUGGAUUCAGUGCUGUGAGGGCCUCUCACCGUCAUGUGGUCUGUGUGAACCAACCAUCAGGGCAGUUUAGGUACUGCAGGGUGUUGGGGCCCCA
rnacentral:antisense_RNA from 1 species